CACUGAGAAGCUAUAAAGCAACAGCCUUUUAAGCUGCAGACAGGUGACUAUUACCCUCAGUGA
rnacentral:tRNA from 2 species